rnacentral:rRNA from 1 species
AUUGAACGCUGGCGGCAUGCCUUACACAUGCAAGUCGAACGGCAGCGGACCUUCGGGUGCCGGCGAGUGGCGAACGGGUGAGUAAUAUAUCGGAACGUACCUUUCAGUGGGGGAUAACGUAGCGAAAGUUACGCUAAUACCGCAUAUUUCUAGUGAGCAGGAAAGCAGGGGAUCGCAAGACCUUGCGCUGAUUGAGCGGCCGAUAUCAGAUUAGCUAGUUGGUGAGGUAAAGGCUCACCAAGGCGACGAUCUGUAGCGGGUCUGAGAGGAUGAUCCGCCACACUGGAACUGAGACACGGUCCAGACUCCUACGGGAGGCAGCAGUGGGGGAAUUUUGGACAAUGGGCGCAAGCCUGAUCCGAGCCAUGCCGCGUGAGUGAAGAAGGCCC